GGGCGGGGCGGGGCCGGGCACGAGGCAGCGCGGGCGGUCCCGCCGGGCCGAGGAGCGGCUUCACCCGCGCGCGGUCGCGCUUCCGCUUCCGGUGUCCGCGCCCGGCGCCCCUCCGCCGCGACGCCCACGCGGGACGGCGGCACACGGGGCGCAGGGCGCAUGCGCGCGCCGCCGGCGUCCCCGCGUUGCCCCGGAUACCGCGGGCAGUGAGGGCCGCGCAUGCGCCCUGAGCCUCGCGGCCCCGCCCGGGCCCCGCGGUUGCCGUGGAGACGCGGCCUGGGCCGGACCCGCCGGGACCGAGCCGUGCCGAGCGGUGCCGGACCCGCCGGGACGCGGGACCCGCCCUCACAGUCCGGUCCCGCUGCGGGAACCACGUGUCAGAAUAGCUGCUCUGCAAACCCCGAGGCUAUGAGCUGCGGGUCAAGCGAGGCUUGCAGACAGGGAAACCCAACAAUUAUUGACUGUAUUCAUUGUUGGACUUGAAGCAGGAGGGGAAGCACACAAGAUGUUUGGAAACUGUAUUUCAUCUGACCACUUCAACAUGGGAAAAAUAAAAUCACCAGCCAGCUAACCAGAAAAGAAGAUAGUCCAGUGGGAAACAAACAUCUGUUUCUGACUGCUGGAAUCAGGUAAGUGAUUUUAAUUCUUUCCUUUUCUCUCUCUCUCCCCCUUUCCCUUUUUUUUCACAGAAGCACAAAAUCAUAGAGUUUAGAGGGGAUAUCUGAUGGUCAUCUUCUCCAGUCCCCCUUCUAAUGCAGCCUGGGACAGGGUUAGCCUUCUUUACUGCAAGAGAAUGUUGUUGGCUUGUGUAAAUGGUGGCUUUUCCCUUUUUCUUUUUCUUUCCCCACACU